GUUUAUGUAGUUUAAAAAGAAAACAUUACAUUUUCAAUGUAAUAAUAUUUUAUUAAUCAUAAAUU
rnacentral:tRNA from 1 species